rnacentral:rRNA from 1 species
GACGAACGCUGGCGGCGUGCUUAACACAUGCAAGUCGAACGGAAAGGCCCUGCUUGCCGGGUACUCGAGUGGCGAACGGGUGAGUAACACGUGGGUGAUCUGCCCUUCACUUCGGGAUCAGCUUGGGAAACUGGGUCUAAUACCGGCUAGGCACCAUCUUUAGUGUGGCGGUUGGACAGUUUUUUCGGUGUAGGAUGAGCUCGCGGCCUAUCAGCUUGUUGGUGGGGUAAUGGCCUACCAAGGCGGCGACGGGUAGCCGGCCUGGGAGGGUGUACGGCCACAUUGGGACUGAGAUACGGCCCAGACUCCUACGGGAGGCAGCAGUGGGGAAUAUUGCACAAUGGGCGCAAGCCUGAUGCAGCGACGCCGCGGGGGGGAUGAAGGCCUUCGGGUUGUAAACUCCUUUCGCUAGGGACGAAGCUUUUUGUGACGGUACCUAGAUAAGAAGCACCGGCUAACUACGUG